CCUACGGGAGGCAGCAGUGGGGAAUAUUGGACAAUGGGGGCAACCCUGAUCCAGCCAUGCCGCGUGUGUGAAGAAGGCCCUCGGGUUGUAAAGCACUUUCAGUGAGGAAGAACGCCUGGUGGUUAAUACCCAUCAGGAAAGACAUCACUCACAGAAGAAGCACCGGCUAACUCCGUGCCAGCAGCCGCGGUAAUACGGAGGGUGCGAGCGUUAAUCGGAAUUACUGGGCGUAAAGCGCGCGUAGGUGGCUUGAUAAGCCGGUUGUGAAAGCCCCGGGCUCAACCUGGGAACGGCAUCCGGAACUGUCAAGCUAGAGUGCAGGAGAGGAAGGUAGAAUUCCCGGUGUAGUGGUGAAAUGCGUAGAGAUCGGGAGGAAUACCAGUGGCGAAGGCGGCCUUCUGGACUGACACUGACACUGAGGUGCGAAAGCGUGGGUAGCAAACAGGAUUAGAUACCCCAGUAGUC
rnacentral:rRNA from 1 species